ACCCCUGCUAUACCUACACUGCACUGGAUGAUCCUUGGAGAUCCACAGACAGUCGAUAUACCUACCAAUUAAUGUGUGACAGAGAUGUCAGCUGGAACGGCUGGUACCGUCUCUUCAUUCAUGGUCAGAGCAUUCAGAUGCCAGACAGAUGUGUUGAUAAGUAUAGUUGUGGUACUAAUGUCCCGCUGUGGCUGAACGGCAGACAUCCAAAUGUUGAGGAUGGAGUGGUCACUCGAGGUGUCUGCGGUCACUGGUUCAAUAACUGCUGCCAUGUUCAGUCCAAUCCCAUCAAUGUCAAAGCCUGUCCAGGAGGUUAUUAUGUCUAUGAGUUUGUGAUGCCAGUUAACUGCCAUUUGGCAUACUGUGCAGGUAAGCAUAUUUUGCAUUCACACAUGUAUGUGUUUCUGUAAUAUUUUAUGAUAUUUUUAUGAAUAUUUUAUGAUCUAUUAGUUUUUGGCUCACUGUGGAGGUAAAUACAUUAACAUGCCUUUUGUAUUUGUGUUUUGUUUUUGUUUAUUUAUAAUAUUCAUUACAUUUCUUUGUGCAUAACAAUCCUUCUCUCACUCCAGAGCCAAACUUGCAGUUGUUUGUAGUCUUCUAUGCCCUCUACUGACUGCUGAUGAUGUGCUGAUGACAAUUUGUGUCAUUUAAUGUUUUGACAGUAGUGUUAAUUUUGUUAAUAAAAACUGUUUGCCGAUAAACUUGUUGAUAAAGUUGCUUACUCCAACUUAACCAUCACAGAAACAUCGUUUCAAGUGGUUUUAAUUUCAGGCAGUAAUUUUUCAUUUAUUCUGAUGAAUUAUGGUGACAUUGCUGUGACAGAACAUCCAGUGCAGGUAAAAGAAGCUUGUUUUCUGUAUUAAUAACAAAAUGUUACAAUUUACUACUGUACAAAAGUAUAUGUACCCUAUAAAUACUGUUUGUAUAAAUAAUGUUCUUACACACUUUCAGGCUGGUUAUGACACAAUAAACUCCACACACUACUUUGUGAUUCCUGGAUCAAACCACGGCAGCUUCAUCUCAAACCUCAGGAACUCCAGUAAUGUUGAUGUUCCCGGUCGAUGGGCCUUCAGAGUGGACAGUGGACCAAGAAACAGCAUCUUGAAAAACCAUGUUGUUGGUUUUCGAGUGAGACUUUCCUCAUUUUCAGACCUAACACAGAGGGGAAACAUUGAAAUGCUUUUACAGCAAAUGAAACAGGAGCUGGUCAAGUACGGUCUGCCAAACAGCGUCGAGCUGAAGUUAAGAAAACUGGUAAAGAUAAAGUCAUAAUUACAGUCUUCUUCAGGAAAAGAAGUAAAACUGGUUUGUUUAGCAACUUACAACAAAUAUCCCUCAUGACUGAUGAUGUUAAAGCUUCUGUUUUUCAUUAAGGUGCUAUCAUUUAAAGGAUUACUAAAAACCAGCAUACACUCUUAAAAAUAAAGGUGCUUCACGAAACCUUUUUAUCCA
ensembl:lncRNA